rfam:Gossypium hirsutum cultivar TM-1 chromosome 23, whole genome shotgun sequence
UGUUGAAAAUUUUAUCCAUUUGUAAUGUUAAAAAUUAAUGUAGCUGACAGAAUAAUAAAACAAUCACACGUGGCAUGCUACCUGUACCUUAUGUUGAUGUAUAAUGAUUAUUUUUUAAUAGUAAAAAAUGUAUGAAAAUUUUAACA